ensembl:snoRNA
UUGGCCCUGAAUUAAGGCCGGCAGUUUCCUGAUGCUGUUGGUUUCAAGCAGGAGCCUAAAGAGAUGUCUUUCUAUUGGCCAUUUCAUAACUUGGGCAAUGAAAUGAUCAAUUCAUUAGAAAGAAACAGCU